GGGAUAAAAGGGGGUCAUUUAUCAGGUCCUCAAACCAAAGAAGCUAUAUGUUGCUAUUAAGGAACUCCAAAGAAAAUCAGAUCUGAUGCAGAAAGAGAUACUUGAACUGUUGGGUACCUCUGUGACACGAAGGUUGAAGGGCUGGUCUCUAUUGGACAUUGAAGAACCUGGAGAUGAUAAAAGUGGAUCUUUGCUUAUAGUGUUUGAUGGAAUCUGUCCUGAGACUCCACUCCCUCAUGUUGAUCUCACUGUAAUGCUAUCAACAGCCGCAGACAGAGGAAUUCUUGCCAGAAUGGGUGUUAGGGAGCUGAGUGCGUCCUCAUACAUCUUUUUUCAUGGACCUUCCUCGCCGACAAAUCCAGGAAAGAAGGGCCAGAACUAGCUUUGAGUACUGAUGGUGUGGUCGUGGAGAGGUUUGAAUGUACUGAAAGACAAAGCGGUUGUAGUCGUGUGGAGACGUAUGGCUGAUUUGCUGAAGUGUUUUGUCAGUCAUCAAGUUGACUAGCAGUCCUACCACUACUGCCAAUUCCAGAGUAGUCGUUUAUAAUGGAACGUGGAAAACUGGAAGAGCGAAUAGUUUUACUUUUAGGAGUCAUAUUACUUUUGGUUCAUGAUAGCGCUUACCGUGUUCGCUUGCGCUGGUAGCGGUUACUGACACGAUACUGAUGCCCUUCUGGUAUGCUGUUGUGUCACAUUCUGUGACUUUUGAAGAUACUUGUUCGUGAUGAAAUAUCAUUGAGCGACAGAGGUUGUCUGAUGAGUUUUUA